rnacentral:rRNA from 1 species
GAASGSRUAAAGAGCUUGCUCUUAUGAAGUUAGCGGCGGACGGGUGAGUAACACGUGGGUAACCUGCCCAUAAGACUGGGAUAACUCCGGGAAACCGGGGCUAAUACCGGAUAACAUUUUGCRCYGCAUGGYGCGAAAUUGAAAGGCGGCUUCGGCUGUCACUUAUGGAUGGACCCGCGUCGCAUUAGCUAGUUGGUGAGGUAACGGCUCACCAAGGCAACGAUGCGUAGCCGACCUGAGAGGGUGAUCGGCCACACUGGGACUGAGACACGGCCCAGACUCCUACGGGAGGCAGCAGUAGGGAAUCUUCCGCAAUGGACGAAAGUCUGACGGAGCAACGCCGCGUGAGUGAUGAAGGCUUUCGGGUCGUAAAACUCUGUUGUUAGGGAAGAACAAGUGCUAGUUGAAUAAGCUGGCACCUUGACGGUACCUAACCAGAAAGCCACGGCUAACUMYGUGCCAGCAGCCGCAAA